rnacentral:rRNA from 1 species
AUACAGAGGGUGCGAGCGUUAAUCGGAAUUACUGGGCGUAAAGCGCGCGUAGGCGGCUACUUAAGUCAGAUGUGAAAUCCCCGGGCUCAACCUGGGAACUGCAUCUGAUACUGGGUAGCUAGAGUUUUGGAGAGGGAAGUAGAAUUUCAGGUGUAGCGGUGAAAUGCAUAGAGAUCUGAAGGAAUACCAGUGGCGAAGGCGACUUCCUGGCCAAAAACUGACGCUGAGGUGCGAAAGCGUGGGUAGCAAACGGAAUUAGAAACCCUAGUAGUCC